rnacentral:rRNA from 1 species
GUCAACUUCCAUACCAUGUAUGAAAGUACCAGUUCUUGUUCGAUUACUAAUGUCAAGCAACGUUGGGCACAAUUAGUACUUAGAUGAGUGACUGCUUGGGAAUACCAUGUGAUGUUGGCA